ACGGGUGAGUAACGCGUGAGAAUCUACCCUUUAGUGAAGAAUACCCUCGAGAAAUCGAGGUUAAUACUGCAUAAGUCCCUUCGGGGAGAAAGAUGGCCUCUUUGCUGUCGCUAAUGGAUGAGCUUGCGUACUAUUAGCUAGUUGGUAGGGUAAAGGCCUACCAAGGCGAUGAUGGUUAACCGGCCUGAGAGGGUGUACGGUCACACUGGAACUUAGAUACGGUCCAGACUCCUACGGGAGGCAGCAGUGAGGAAUAUUGCGCAAUGGGCGAAAGCCUGACGCAGCGACGCCGCGUGGAGGAUGAAGGUCUUCGGAUUGUAAACUUCUGUUAAGUGGGAAAAAAUACAUAGCUCUAAUAAAGCUGUGGGAUGAUGGUACCAUUAGAGAAAGCACCGGCUAACUUCGUGCCAGCAGCCGCGGUAAUACGAAGGGUGCGAGCGUUAUUCGGAUUGAUUGGGCGUAAAGGGUGCGCAGGCGGUAUGCUAAGUCAACUGUUAAAUAUCCCAGCCUAACUGGGAACCAGCAGUAGAUACUGGCGUGCUUGAGGAUGGAAGAGAGAAGUGGAAUUCUCGGAGUAGCGGUAAAAUG
rnacentral:rRNA from 1 species